rnacentral:rRNA from 1 species
AAAUUGAAGAGUUUGAUCAUGGCUCAGAUUGAACGCUGGCGGCAGGCCUAACACAUGCAAGUCGAACGGUAACAGGAAACAGCUUGCUGUUUCGCUGACGAGUGGCGGACGGGUGAGUAAUGUCUGGGAAACUGCCUGAUGGAGGGGGAUAACUACUGGAAACGGUAGCUAAUACCGCAUAACGUCGCAAGACCAAAGAGGGGGACCUUCGGGCCUCUUGCCAUCGGAUGUGCCCAGAUGGGAUUAGCUAGUAGGUGGGGUAACGGCUCACCUAGGCGACGAUCCCUAGCUGGUCUGAGAGGAUGACCAGCCACACUGGAACUGAGACACGGUCCAGACUCCUACGGGAGGCAGCAGUGGGGAAUAUUGCACAAUGGGCGCAAGCCUGAUGCAGCCAUGCCGCGUGUAUGAAGAAGGCCUUCGGGUUGUAAAGUACUUUCAGCGGGGAGGAAGGGAGUAAAGUUAAUACCUUUGCUCAUUGACGUUACCCGCAGAAGAAGCACCGGCUAACUCCGUGCCAGCAGCCGCGGUAAUACGGAGGGUGCAAGCGUUAAUCGGAAUUACUGGGCGUAAAGCGCACGCAGGCGGUUUGUUAAGUCAGAUGUGAAAUCCCCGGGCUCAACCUGGGAACUGCAUCUGAUACUGGCAAGCUUGAGUCUCGUAGAGGGGGGUAGAAUUCCAGGUGUAGCGGUGAAAUGCGUAGAGAUCUGGAGGAAUACCGGUGGCGAAGGCGGCCCCCUGGACGAAGACUGACGCUCAGGUGCGAAAGCGUGGGGAGCAAACAGGAUUAGAUACCCUGGUAGUCCACGCCGUAAACGAUGUCGACUUGGAGGUUGUGCCCUUGAGGCGUGGCUUCCGGAGCUAACGCGUUAAGUCGACCGCCUGGGGAGUACGGCCGCAAGGUUAAAACUCAAAUGAAUUGACGGGGGCCCGCACAAGCGGUGGAGCAUGUGGUUUAAUUCGAUGCAACGCGAAGAACCUUACCUGGUCUUGACAUCCACGGAAGUUUUCAGAGAUGAGAAUGUGCCUUCGGGAACCGUGAGACAGGUGCUGCAUGGCUGUCGUCAGCUCGUGUUGUGAAAUGUUGGGUUAAGUCCCGCAACGAGCGCAACC